UACGUAGGGUGCGAGCGUUGUCCGGAAUUAUUGGGCGUAAAGGGUAGGUAGGUGGUCUCAUUGUCUGGGUGAAAGCCUCGAGCUUAACUCGAGAAGUGCCUCGGAAACGGUGAGACUAGAGUCUUGGAGAGGGAUGCAGAAUUCCAGGUGUAGCGGUGAAAUGCGUAGAUAUCUGGAGGAACACCGGUGGCGAAGGCGGCAUCCUGGACCGGUAUUGACGCUGAGGCGCGGAAAGC
rnacentral:rRNA from 1 species